AAAAGCCUAGACCUAGACACUCUACAAUCAGCGAAAAAACACAAAAAAGAGAGAGGUAUUCGCCGUUCUUGGCAAAAAUAUCGAACCCGAUCCCCUUUACUUUUAGUCGGCUUCAUUCCCUUUUCCAAAGAACCAAAAAAAGCUUAAGAUUGAUAAAACCUAGCAGCCGAAAAGGACAACAAAAAAAUCAGACGCUAGACCUAUACACUAAAGAGAGUAGCGCCGUUUUCCUGAGAGACAAAAAAAAUCAGCCGAUUGAAGAAUAACGUGUAAUGCCUCAUUCGUGGAUACAAAGCAGACGUCUCCAUCUAUUGUCUUUGUUGACAUUUGCUGUAUACUUUUUCUUCCUAUUAUCAUUCUUGGGAAAAGAAAGAGAAGGUGGUUGCGAAAAGCAACAGGAAUUCAACCUAAGUUUCCUUACAUGGUUGACUCAUUUGAAAAGAGGAGCGCAACUUCUUUCCAGAGAGCAUGCAAGAUUUCGAUUUUUUUUAAUAAAUCUCAGUUGGAUUGAGUUUGAGAUUCUCAUUGUCAUCCUCUUUUUCGCAUGCCGAUGUCAAUUUGAGGUUCCGGUUCGCAAUUUGGCGUUUCAAUUCAAGGAUUGUUGCUUUGUUUAGCCCGAUUGACUUGCAAUUUUCAGCUUUGUUCACCAAUAAAAGGUCUAUUUCUAAAUUUUUAUUCUCAUUUUAGUGUGUUACGAUAGCUCCGUGCACGUGUUGGUUGAUUUUGUUUCUAAGUUAUUUGAGUGGCACGUCUUAGUUUUUAAUUAAAUUGCUUUAAUUAGUUUUUAUUUUGAUUGUGAUGUGCGUAGUCUUGACUCUUGAAUAAAUGCUUUUAAUUGAGUAGACGGAAAAAUUGGAGUUUCUUUCUUGGUAAGAAAUAAGAAUGGGCCAUAAGGUAGGUUUUGAACCAUAAGGAAUCUGGCCAAGUAAUAGAUCAUAUCAGCUAGCCUAUUUGCUCCCCAAUAAUAUCUUGUCCAUAAAUGUGGCACCACAAAAAUCUCAAAGAUUAGGAAAAUAAUUCAAAUGCUCUAGUUGCUUUAAGCGCAAUUAAAUAAAUCAUCGUGACAACGGGUACGGUUCCCGUGGCAGAGUCAUGAUACGUAGAUCUCAAUUCGGGUGUGCAUUUCAUGUGACCCUACCAUAAUUAUGAAUAAUAAUAACCAAAUACGCAUGUUAUAAAUUUGGGUGUGCAUUUCAUGUGACCCGUUUCCAAUAAUGUUAAAUAAAAUAAACAUGUCGUAAACCGUGGGUUCAUUUCAUGUAGCGUGGUUUACAAUGUGUUUUCAAAAAUAAACAAGUGUAGAACGAUCUUGAAUUUUCUUAAAAACUUUAAAGCGGUUAGAAAGUUAAAAACGCACGUAGGUUUAAAAUGUGUAAUUAAUAAUUUAAUUAGGCCAAAUAUUGAUAAUUUAAGCGACCGUGCUAGAACCACGGAACUCGGGAAUGCCUCACACCUUUUCCCGAGUUAACAGAAUUCCUUACCCGGUCUUCUGGUUUUGCAGACUUUAAAUGGAGUCAAAUUUCUUCGAUUUGGGAUUUAAAAUAAAUCGGUGACUUGGGAUACCAUAAACUAUUCCAAGUGGCAAUUCUGAAAAAUAAAUAAAUAAUCCCAUUUCGAUUUAUGUCACUUUAAUUGAAAAAACUCCUUUAUAUCCGCCCUUCCGAGGGUAGUGAAAAGGAGGCGUGACAGCUCUGGCAAAUCUGUUGGGGAUAAGAACCCAGAACUUCUGGUUCAAGGUUCAAAAUUCGAGCUUAGAAUAUCUGUUAUAAUUGGCUUUAUUUAUUAUCUAAUUUUUUAUAUGUUUGAACCUAAUGUGCUAAAUGCCACUUUUUUACCGCCUUGAUAUUAUUUGAACUGUAUAUAAAUUGUUACAAAACUCUCCUCUCUCUGAGUCUUCUAAAUCAUCUGGGAAGUAUGCACUUCGUGUGAUUUCUUUUCUGUUAGAGCCAUAUCCCAAUUUUGGAAUGAGGUUCGGACAAGUUGCAAAGCCGGUGAAGCUUCUGUUUUCCCGGUACGCUGCCCCCCAGCUCGAGCUGUCCGCUCGGGUAAGCCAGGUCUAGAACAAAUAAACCCAGGUUUUUAUGCCUAGAAUAACAUAGCCUCAUACCGGAUCCCUAGUAGGAACGCUUGUUUGCAUCACGUACAUCUGACUUUGGGGACUCAACACAGGGGUUGGGUCCAUCUAGGACAGGUGUACCCCAAAAAUAAAAGACCACCCUGAUGCAUUUUAUGUGUUAUAUUUUGCAAUUUUCAAGGGUAAAAGGGUCAUUUGGCGGACCAAUGAUGGCUGAGGAUAAAUGAGAAAAAAAUAGGGUGAAGUGUAAAAUAAAGCAAGUAGGGCCCAGUUAUAAUUUUCUUUCACGCUUUUUCAAGAAAAGACAAAAAAAAAAUGAAAAUGAAAAAAAUCCAAAAAGAUUUGCACUCUCCCAUUAUUUUUUUUCAAAAAAAAAAUCAGAAAAAGGGGAAAAAAAAAUCCAAAAACAGUUUAAAUAUUUCAUCAUUUUUCAAAACAAAAGAGAAAAAAUAUGUUUUCUCUAAAUUAGUUGUUUUUUUAAUUCUCGCCCGUAUUCAAUCUGCCCGAACUAUGCAUACCUGAUUCUCGUCUUUCGGGGCGUGAUACGUAGGCAUCCCACAUAGGGUCCGGUUUUCCUAGUAAGUUUUAGGUUCUUGGCUUCGCGAGGUCUUAGCCAAAUCUUGCAUUUUUAGCCACAUAGGUUAAUUUUAGAAAAAUAGUUACAACCAUGUCUUGCAUGUGUCUAGUAGGGAAUGUUAUUGUCUCACAUAGUGUUGGUUUCGGUUUUCUCAUACAGGUGUGGAUCUACUUACCAGAGUUUGAGCAUGACAGAGCCCCAGGACCAUCUAGUCAGGAUCGCACAUUCAGGAGUGGAUUAAAAGGAGUUUUUCUUUUCUUUUUAAUGCUUUGAGUCUAUUGUUCUUUUUAUGUCGUCUUUUAACUUCUAAUUUUGUACAGUAAUGUCGAGUGUUUUUAAUAUAUUUCCUAUUUUGUAUUGAAAAAAGAUGUGUAAUAAAUCAAAAAUCAAAAAACAAAAAAUUU
rnacentral:lncRNA from 1 species